ACCUACUUCUCUCUGGGUUAUUUUGACAGCUACGCCGUGGCUCUGGAGGGUGUGGGCCAUUUCUUACGCAAGUUGGCAGAGAAGAAGCACGAGGGUGCUGAGCAUCUCUUAAAGUUGCAAAACAAGCGUGGCAGCCGCGUUCUCUCCCAAGAUAUACAGAAACCUUCCUAAGAUGACUGGGACAAAAUUCAGGACACCAUGGAAGCUGCCCUGGCCUUGGAGAGGAACCUGAACCAAGCCCUUUUGGAGCUGCAGGCUCUGGGUUCUACCUGUGCAGACCAUCAUCUCUGCAACUUCCUGGAGGACCACUUCCUGGAUGAGGAGGUGAAACUCAUCAAGAAGAUGGGCAACCACCUGACUAACAUCCGCAGGCUGGCUAACCCCCUGGCUGGGCUGGGUGCCUAUCUCUUUGAAAGGCUCACCCUCAAGCACAACUAGGAGCCUUUGGAGCCCAGAGGCCUUUCAGAGGCCCCUCUGCAUCCCCCUGGUGUCUCUGGCUUUUACCUGAGCCUCUUUCCGAAACUACUAGUCAUUCUUUUAACCACCAUGGAGCCCUCUCCCAUGCAUUGGACCAAAUGAAACAUCAAAGUUUUUUGCAG